GGUUGCCAUGAAGCCGUACGGUGAGGAGGGCAGGCAGUUCUAAUGCGCUCAGUGUUCUCUGACGGGUUUUCCCGAGCUGUGGCGAGCGCCGCGUUGCAGCGCCCGCGGCGCACGGGCUCAUCCUCCUCCUCCUGGUGAAUGAAUUCGUUCUCUGAGCCGGCAGCGG